UUCUUAUCCAGAGAGAUGGAGGGAUUUGGCCCUUUGAAGUCUCAGCAACCGGCCUUUGGCAAUGGUGCUAAUUCCAAUAGGUAAUGUACCUAGGAGAUAAGAA
rnacentral:ncRNA from 14 species